GUGCUGCCGACCGCUCCGCAGCCCGCGGUGCAGCUGGCACUGACACGAUGCUAAAAAGGAAGAGAUCUUCGGAUAAAUUCCCGUUGACAUUGUCAGCUCUGAGACGAGUCAACAGCAAGUAAUAAGGAGCCUCAGGAUCCUCCAGAGCCAAAAGAUGAUGAUGUCCUGUGCUGUUCCUACCAGCUGGCUGAGGAGAUGCACAAUUGUGCAUUUUGAUAUUCAAGAUAAUCUGGGUUGCUCCAGCCUUGGGCCCUGCAUUGACAGGUCUGUGCUGUAUCAUCCCGCAGAAAAAAUAUACCUAUAUUCACAGAAUAAUGCCUUUCACAGUCUCUUUCUCAAGCAAACAUGCCAUAAAAGUAUUUGUGAGACUGGGUCUGUUGACAGUGAUGUUCAAAAAGUCAUUUUGUGAUGUAUUUUGUGAUACAUGGGUAAAACCUGACAAGAGAAAGGGCUUGUAAAAUCAUGGCUCAGGCCUUGCUGCUGUGGCUGGGUACAGCUAACAGCCAGCAUGAUAAGCUUCUGUGAGAAAGGAAUUGAACAGUGAGAAUCAGCUUGGAUAUCAGUCUAUUCCUGUGGGAACCAAUUUGCACCUGUGAGAAGAAAGAAAGAUUCUACCCGUGUGAAGGAGACAAGAGUGUAAACAUCUCUGGAGAGGAGAGUUUUUGAUGGACACAUACAAUAGCCAUUACUAAUCAAUGAACUGAAUUGCCAUAAGUUACUAACCAACUAGAAUUAAACGUGAUGCCUUAGAAAACCAUUAAAAUAUGAGCUGUG